rnacentral:snoRNA from 16 species
CACUCCUGUUUCUGCCUCGUGUCCUUAGAAACGCUUCCACAGGACACGGGUUCUAAUUAUGGAGAAGAUCAAGCUUUGAAAUGGCCUAUUCACACAUUUUGAUACAACCGUGAACAGUGUUCCGUUUCGGAGAUCGUGUGGGUUUCUAUCGUUACGUACUCAUUGUGUUUUCAAAAAUCUCUGAGUUGUUUAGAUGCCACUAUAUUU